AGCCUGACUGCUACCUGCGUCUAGUCUCAUCUAAUCAGCAUUCUGACAUCCUCCUCUGUGCUCCAGGCACACGGAGCUGCUGGGUAAAAUAUAACAAAACUGUUACAUCGUGGAGGGAGGAUGAUUCCCAUCUGCCAAAAGAAGGAGAACCCCAUAAGCAACAUGAUGCUCUGGAUGGUGUUCAGGAAGAUGCCCUUUACAAAAGCUACUCUGGUCAUCAGUCUCUAGGGCAGUCAUGCUACUUGGUACCAGAAGAUGAUCCCAAAAGAAAGGCAAGCUGUUCCCUGGCCUUCUCCUUCUCCACUUUGUCCCCAUCAACACCGCUUCAGCGUUCAGAAAUCAAUUCGAAUGUCAUCUCCACUGAGAAGUCUUUCCUGACCCUGCUUCCCUCACUCACCUCCCCAAUCCAGUGCCAGGUGCCUCACCCAUGACCUCUACAAAAUCUAAGAGCAUUUGCCAGCUCAGCUCUGUGCCUCUGGAUUGAGAGGUCCUUGCAAGCAAGGACUGGGUUUUUCUGUGGUUUUGUUCCAGUACCUUGCCUACUUUCAUCAUUUCCAGGGGAUAGCAAGCACUCAGAAAUGUGUCCAGCAGUCCUACCCCUGAGAACAAUCCCAGCAUAUGUAAGGCGUGUACAAGAAUGUUUGCAGCACCAUGACUUUUAUUAGUCCCCAAAUAACCAUUAGUCCCUGGAAAUAACCCAAAUGCCUGUUAACUGGAGAGCGGGUAUGUAAAUCAUGGCAUUUUAAAUCAAUCAAUCCUAUGCAACUAUGGGAAGGAAGGAAUAAAUGCUAUGAAUGGAUUUCACAGACCUAAUGUUGCGUGAAAGCCAUGACGGAGGCGGGAGUCACCUGUGGUGGGAGCAAUCAGGAGAGGAGUUACCCCUGAAGGCACAGGGUACCUGAUGGGGCCUUGGGGACCCCAGGAAUGCUCCAGGGCGCUGGCCACGUGAACAUUCUCACACUACGGAAACUCAUCCAGCUGUACAUUUAUAGUUUGUGUACGGAUCUGUAUCUCAAACUUGAAUAAAGGUUUUAAUUGAGCCAGUUCCCUUUGUAGAACACUUUCUCGUGGUGUUUGGACAGGGGCAGACAUGGUGCGUGUGGGUGUGCCUGC